ACUCUAUGAUGAGUGGGCAGAGUGGCAGUUGCACAGUUCCCAGUGGGUGCGGUGCUCGGCGCAGCUCACUCCACGCAUGCUAUGGCCCAUCUCUAUCUCUUCUCUUCUCUACAGCUUCUCGUGGUCGCGGAGGAGGAGGACGAACUCGAUCUCCUCGGGCUGCCGUCCGCGAGGAAGGACGACCUCGAUCUCCUCCGGACGCCGCCUACGCCACCACGAACACGCCGGUGCCGUCCGCGAGGGAGGACGACCUCGAUGCGGCGACGACAACCAAACAGGUCCCCCCAUCCUCGCAGCAUCGCCCCGCCCUCCGAC
rnacentral:lncRNA from 1 species